rnacentral:misc_RNA from 1 species
AGCAGCCGCGGUAAUUCCAGCUCCAAUAGCGUAUAUUAAAGUUGUUGCAGUUAAAAAGCUCGUAGUUGAACUUCGGGGUUCACCCAUUGGUCAGGCUUAAUUGUCUGUACUGGUGAGAUGAGUCUCUACCUUUUGAGGAACUUUCAUGCCAUUUAUUUGGUGUGAUGGGAAAUCAGGACUGUUACUUUGAAAAAAUUAGAGUGUUUAAAGCAGGCUCACGCUUGAAUACAUUAGCAUGGAAUAAUGAAAUAGGACGUUUGAUUCUAUUUUGUUGGUUUCUAGGAUCGACGUAAUGAUUAAUAGGGAUAGUUGGGGGCAUUAGUAUUCAAUUGUCAGAGGUGAAAUUCUUGGAUUUAUUGAAGACUAACUACUGCGAAAGCAUUUGCCAAGGAUGUUUUCAUUAAUCAAGAACGAAAGUUAGGGGAUCGAAGACGAUCAGAUACCGUCGUAGUCUUAACCAUAAACUAUGCCGACUAGGGAUCGGAUGAUGUUAAUUUUUUAAUGACUCAUUCGGCGCCUU